GAUGAACGAGGGGGGAGGGAAGAAUACAUGCAAGUCGAGCGAACGGACGCGAAGCUUGCUUCUCUGCUGUUAGCGGCGGACGGGUGAGUUACACGUGGAUAACCUACCUCUAAGACUGGGUUAACUUCGGGAAACCGGCGCUCAUACCGGAUAAUAUUUUGAACCGCAUGAUUCAAACGUGAAAGACGGUCUUGCUGUCACUUAUAGAUGGAUCCGCGCUGCAUUAGCUAGUUGGUAAGGUAACGGCUUACCAAGGCAACGAUGCAUAGCCGACCUGAGAGGGUGAUCGGCCACACGGGAACUGAGACACGGUCCAGACUCCUACGGGAGGCAGCAGUAGGGAAUCUUCCGCAAGGGGCGAAAGCCUGACGGAGCAACGCCGCGUGAGUGAUGAAGGUCUUCGGAUCGUAAAACUCUGUUAUUAGGGAAGAACAUAUGUGUAAGUAACUGUGCACAUCUUGACGGUACCUAAACAGAAAGCCACGGCUAACUACGUC
rnacentral:rRNA from 1 species